GUAGGUGGCAAGCGUUGUCCGGGAAUUAUUGGGGCGUAAAGCGCGCGCAGGCGGUUCUUUAAGUCUGAUGUGAAAGCCCACGGGCUCAACCGUGGAGGGCAUUGGAAACUGGAGAACUUGAGUACAGAAGAGGAAAGCGGAAUUCCACGUGUAGCGGUGAAAUGCGUAGAGAUGUGGAGGAACACCAGUGGCGAAGGCGGCUUUCUGGUCUGUAACUGACGCUGAGGCGCGAAAGCGUGGGGAGCAAACAGGAUUAGAUACCCUGGUAGUCCACGCCGUAAACGAUGAGUGCUAAGUGUUAGGGGGUUUCCGCCCCUUAGUGCUGCAGCUAACGCAUUAAGCACUCCGCCUGGGGAGUACGGCCGCAAAGGCUG
rnacentral:rRNA from 1 species